GGGGUUGUAGCUUAGUGGUAGAGUGCUCACCUAGCAUGUGUGAGGUGCUGGGUUUGAAUCUCAGCACCACA
rnacentral:tRNA from 1 species